CUUUCCUCCCUCUUCCACCUAUCUCACCCUCCUUCCUCCUAGCCUAUAUGAAUUGCUUGGAGAGUCCCAGUUUAUGUCAAACUGUUUUGCACUUUCAUUCCUUGGUUCAAGAUGCUUCCUCUUCCUGGGAUUCCUUCUUGCCCCUCCCUGGUUGCAUGAUACACUUCUCCUCCUCAUUCAUAACUCAGCUAUCAGGACUCUCCCAGGAACAACUGAUUAUUCCCCUUUGUAUGCUCUGCUAAAUUAAAAUUUCAAAACAUGUACCCCUUUGUAAAGUGGACUUUCAUUCAAGGUGCACAGUUCAGUAAUUACUACCAAAAGAACUACUGGUACAACUUUCACCCUGGUCAAAACAGAACAUUAUCACUCCCUUAUAAAAAAAGUUUUACCUUUUUUUAUAGUACUUUAUAUAAAUGAAAUCAUAUCAUGCGCUUUCUGUGUCUGGUUUCUUUUGCAUAAUGUUAUAUGUGUGAGAUUUACUUGUGUCGUAUACAGCAGUUCAUGCAUUUUCAUUGCCGUGUAGUAUCUGAUUUAUGGCUACACCACGUGUUGGUGUGUUUUUUAAGAUUGUGGAUGGAUAUUAGGGUUAUUUUCAUUUUGAGGCAUUGCAAAUACUGCUGUUUUGAACAUUUAUACCCAAGUCUUCUGGUGCAUAUGUGUGUAUGCAUUUCUGUUGGACAUAUACCUGAAAGUGGAAUUGCUGGGUCAUAAGGUAUAUUAUAUUCAAAUUUAGUAGAUACUGACAGUUUCCCGAAGUGGUGACUGUAUCAAUUUAUACUCCCCCCAGCAACUUUGCUUGUAAUUGGCUUUUUAACCUAAGCUAUCUUUUUGAGUAUGCAGUGGUAUCACAUUUUUGUUUCAAUUUGAAUUUUCUCUGAUGACUAAUUGAGAAUUAUUUCAUAUAAUAUAUAUUUAUUGACCAUUUAGAUAUUCUGUUUUCUGAAGUGCCUGUUCAUAUCUUUUCCCCUUUUUUCUAUUAAAUUAUCUGAUUCUUUAGGAGUUCUUUAUAACUUAUUUUAUUUUUAUUUUAUUUUUGAGAUGGGAUCUUGCUCUGUAGUCCAGGCUGGAGUACAGUGGCACGAUCUCAGCUCACUACAGCCUCUGCCUCCCAGGUUCAAGAAAUUCUCUCACUUCAGCCUCCCAAGUAGCUGGGAUUACAGGGGUACGCCACCAUACCUGGCCAAUUUUUGCAUUUUUAGUGGAGGCGGGGUUUCACCAUGUUGGCCAGGCUGGUCUCAAAACUCCUGACAUCAUGUGAUCCACCCACCUCAGCCUCCCAAAGUGUUGGGAUUACAGACAUGAGCCACCGUGCUUGGCCUAUAGUUUUAAUGUAGUCUAAUUUUUCAAUAUUUUCCAGAAAGCUCACAGAAUCAUAAAAAAUAUAUUGUUAUUUUAGGCCACUUAGUUUGGGGAGUUUGUUGCAGAGUAAUAGAUAAGUGAAGCAGCAAAGUACAGAGGGGCUUUUAUCUAAGAGAGCUGAUUUAUCAUUGGAUAUCUCAGAAAACCACAACAUUUCCAAAAGAACUGUAUCAGCUUGAGCUGAAAAAGAUUGAGACAGUUCAAAAUGAAAGAAGUUUCUGGGUCCUCAAACUUCUAUGGGGAAUAAGCAGGUUAAGAAACUUUCUCAGUUGCAAGCAUGGGUCGUUCCUAAUGAAAAAGGCAGGAUGUCACGGAGGGCGGAGGCAAGAGCCACUGCUUUCUUAAGCAGGUUACGAAAGUUUCUCAGUUGCAAGCGUGGGUCGUUUCUAAUGAAAAAGGCAGGAUGUCAUGGAAGGCGGAGCCAAGAGCCACGGAGAAUCACUCCCAAGUAGCAGGGCUGGUCACAUGUGCUCAGAGGAUGUUGGAAUUGCUGUGGAUGGGUGCUUGCUUUGUGCCUCCUAUUCAUGCCCCCCUUUUAAAUGCAAGUGUCUAUUUGUUUAUCCUAGCCCUAUCUUAUGAAUGUAUGUUAUGUAUAUAUGGGAGUGUAUAUGUGUGUUGGUGAUGAGGUUUGAGAGAGCUAGAAUUUUUAAUUCACAAUCUGUACAAUUCAGUAUCUGCACCCAAGGACCCACACCCAAGGAGCAGUACCAGAGGGAACACAUCUGAAGAGCCCUAUCUGGAUUUGCCAACAUGAUUUAGAUGAUAAGAUACUGGACUUUGAGCUGGUGCCAUAAUGGGAUGAGGCUUUGGGAGUCCAAAGGGAGAUAAGUGUAAGUGUAUUUCACCGGUGAAGAAUGUAAAACAUAAAAGGCCAGAACAUGAACUCUGCAGCUAAUCUCCAAAGAUGGCUCUCAGUGAACCACACCUCAUGGAAUUCAUGUCCUUGCAUAGUCCCCUCCCGCACUGAAUCUGGGUUAACUUUGUGACUUUCUCUAACUAUCAGAAUGUGACAGAAGUAACAAUAUGAUACAUCCCUCCAUUUAGUGAGAUCAUCUUUAAUUUCUCCCAAUAAUGUUUUGUAGUUUUCUGUGUAGAGGUCUUACAAAUUUUUUAGAUUGAUUCUUUGACAUGUGACUUUUCUAUGCUGUUGAUAAAUGAUAUUUUGUUAAAAUUUUUAUUUUCUAAUUGCUUGUUACUAGCAUAUAGAAACUUAAUUACAUAUAGAAACUAAGUACAGGACUUUGUUUAUUGACUAUGUAUUCAGUGGCCUUGGUUAAUUCCUCUUUUAAUUGUAAUAGUUUUUCUGUAGUUCUUUUGGAUUUUUCUAUGUGUAUAAUUAUAUAUGAAUAAUGACAGAUUCAUUUCUUAAUUUCC
rnacentral:lncRNA from 1 species